AGAGUUUGAUCCUAGCUCAGGAUGAACGCUGGCGGUGUGGAUAAGUCAUGCAAGUCGUGCGGUCCCGCGAAGCUCCGCAAGGAGCGGCGUGGGAUAGCGGCAAACGGGUUAGUAACACGUAGGUAUUUGCCCCAGAGACGGGAAUAACCCCGCGAAAGCGGAGCUAAUACCCGAUGGUCUCGUAAGAGUAAAGGUCCGGCGCAAGCCGUGACCGCUUUGGGAGAAGCCUGCGGGCUAUCAGCUAGUUGGUGGGGUAAUGGCCUACCAAGGCUAUGACGGCUAGGGGGUGUGAGAGCGCGGCCCCCAACAUUGGGACUGAGACACGGCCCAGACUCCUACGGGAGGCAGCAGACGAGAAUAUUCGACAAUGGGCGAAAGCCUGAUCGAGCGACACCGCGUGUGGGAAGAAGGUCUGCGGAUCGUAAACCACUUUUAUGAGGGAAAAAUUUUGAUUGUACCUCUUGAAUAAGGGGCUGCUAACUUCGUGCCAGCAGCAGCGGUAAUACGAAGGCCCCGAGCGUUAUCCGGAAUUAUUGGGCGUAAAGAGCCUGUAGGCUGUUAGUAUUGUCGGGGGUUAAAGCCCGUGGCCUAACCACGGAAUCGCUUCCGAAACGUACUAACUAGAGGGUGCGAGAGACUAGCGGAACUCACGGUGUAGGGGUGAAAUCCGUUGAUAUCGUGGGGAACACCAAAGGCGAAGGCAGCUAGUUGGCGCACUCCUGACGCUGAAAGGCGAAAGCGUGGGGAUCAAAAAGGAUUAGAUACCCUUGUAGUCCACGCUGUAAACGAUGAUAACUAGCUAUAUGGAGUAUCGACCCUCGGAGUGGCGAAGCUAACGCGUUAAGUUAUCCGCCUGGGAAGUACGGCCGCAAGGCUAAAACUCAAAGGAAUAGACGGGGACUCGCACAAGCGGUGGAGCGUCUGGUUUAAUUCGACAACAAGCGAGGAACCUUACCAGGGCUUGACAUGCCAACGAAAUUCGCCAGAAACGGUGAACCCCUUCACAAGAGGCGGUGGCACAGGUGCUGCAUGGUUGUCGUCAGCUCGUGUCUUGAGAUGUUCCGUUCAGUCGGGUAACGAGCGCAACCCCUGCUGUCUGUUACAAGUAUCAGGCAGGACUGCCCUCGCAAGAGGGAGGAAGGUGGGGACGACGUCAAAUCAGCAUGGCCCUCUGAUGCCCUGGGCGACACAGGCGCUACAAUGGUGCAGACAAUGCGUUGCCAAACCGCAAGGUGGAGCUAAUCGCAACAAACUGCACCCCAGUUCGGAUUGGGGUCUGAAACCCGACCCCAUGAAGUCGGAAUCGCUAGUAAUCGCAGAUCAGCCACGCUGCGGUGAAUACGUUCUCGAGUCUUGUACUCACCGCCCGUCAACUCAAGGAAGCCGGUAAUACCCGAACUUCGGCCUAGCGCCGAGGGAAGGUAGGAUCGGUGACAGGGAGUAAGUCGUAACAAGGCAUGGGUAGCGGAAGCUGUCCAUG
rnacentral:rRNA from 1 species